rnacentral:rRNA from 1 species
GAGGUUAAGCGACUAAGCGUACACGGUGGAUGCCCUGGCAGUCAGAGGCGAUGAAGGACGUGCUAAUCUGCGAUAAGCGCCGGUAAGGUGAUAUGAACCGUUAUAACCGGCGAUUUCCGAAUGGGGAAACCCAGUGUGACUCGUCACACUAUCAUUAACUGAAUCCAUAGGUUAAUGAGGCGAACCGGGGGAACUGAAACAUCUAAGUACCCCGAGGAAAAGAAAUCAACCGAGAUUCCCCCAGUAGCGGCGAGCGAACGGGGAGGAGCCCAGAGCCUGAAUCAGCAUGUGUGUUAGUGGAAGCGUCUGGAAAGGCGCGCGAUACAGGGUGACAGCCCCGUACACAAAAGCGCAUGUGCUGUGAGCUCGAUGAGUAGGGCGGGACACGUGGUAUCCUGUCUGAAUAUGGGGGGACCAUCCUCCAAGGCUAAAUACUCCUGACUGACCGAUAGUGAACCAGUACCGUGAGGGAAAGGCGAAAAGAACCCCGGCGAGGGGAGUGAAAAAGAACCUGAAACCGUGUACGUACAAGCAGUGGGAGCACCCUUUGGGGUGUGACUGCGUACCUUUUGUAUAAUGGGUCAGCGACUUAUAUUCUGUAGCAAGGUUAACCGAAUAGGGGAGCCGGAGGGAAACCGAGUCUUAACCGGGCGUUAAGUUGCAGGGUAUAGACCCGAAACCCGGUGAUCUAGCCAUGGGCAGGUUGAAGGUUGGGUAACACUAACUGGAGGACCGAACCGACUAAUGUUGAAAAAUUAGCGGAUGACCUGUGGCUGGGGGUGAAAGGCCAAUCAAACCGGGAGAUAGCUGGUUCUCCCCGAAAGCUAUUUAGGUAGCGCCUCGUGAAUUCAUCUCCGGGGGUAGAGCACUGUUUCGGCUAGGGGGCCAUCCCGGCUUACCAACCCGAUGCAAACUGCGAAUACCGGAGAAUGUUAUCACGGGAGACACACGGCGGGUGCUAACGUCCGUCGUGAAGAGGGAAACAACCCAGACCGCCAGCUAAGGUCCCAAAGUCAUGGUUAAGUGGGAAACGAUGUGGGAAGGCCCAGACAGCCAGGAUGUUGGCUUAGAAGCAGCCAUCAUUUAAAGAAAGCGUAAUAGCUCACUGGUCGAGUCGGCCUGCGCGGAAGAUGUAACGGGGCUAAACCAUGCACCGAAGCUGCGGCAGCGACGCUGAUGCGUUGUUGGGUAGGGGAGCGUUCUGUAAGCCUGUGAAGGUGGCCUGUGAGGGUUGCUGGAGGUAUCAGAAGUGCGAAUGCUGACAUAAGUAACGAUAAAGCGGGUGAAAAGCCCGCUCGCCGGAAGACCAAGGGUUCCUGUCCAACGUUAAUCGGGGCAGGGUGAGUCGACCCCUAAGGCGAGGCCGAAAGGCGUAGUCGAUGGGAAACGGGUUAAUAUUCCCGUACUUGGUGUUACUGCGAAGGGGGGACGGAGAAGGCUAUGUUGGCCGGGCGACGGUUGUCCCGGUUUAAGCGUGUAGGUGUGUGUUCCAGGUAAAUCCGGUUCACUUUAACAC